GCCAGAUAGAGGUUUUGCAGAUGCCAUGCCUUUAUAAGAAUCUAUCAAUUUCAACAGACCGCGCCACCAGAAUGAUCCUUUUUUUUUGUUGCUUUAUAGUAGUUCUCCCAUACCAGGUUGACCCAAAGUAAAUUCUCUUUGUUGAAGAAUUUAUGCAGGCUUUUGAGGAGGAGUGCAUCAUUGUGAGCUCUAAGGUCCAAAACUCCAAGACCCCCCUCCUCUUUGGGUAGAAAAACCAAUUUCCAUGCUGCCUUAGCAGAUUUCUUUGUGGAAGGGGCGCUGGUACUACAUCUCUCCCUGCCCUUGCUGCCUGCAGGUACAUACGCCGGCUAAAACUUAGUUUCAGGAUUAGUUUUCUGUUCCAAACAAAACAAAAAGUUUGGAUUCUACCCUCGCCUCAUGGAAGCUUUCCUGCUGCAUAGUAAAUGCAUGUACCUUUGAGGCAGUCCAGGACCCUGGUGAUCUUGGCUCGGCAGCGGCAGCAUUGCAGGUCCACCGAGAUAACCAAGAUUGUCAUCUGCAAAUUAAACAAACAUGUAUAGGGAAACAAUCUUGACUACGCUGUGAGAACAUGUACGUGCAAAUAUGAAUUUCUUAUCAAUCAUGCAUGGCCA